CUUUUAUUUUUUUAAAAAGCUCAAAAUAGUUUGGUUAGCGGCUACCAAAUGAUAAGGAAGAAAAUCGAAUCAAACAUUCCUAAUAAUCAUCAAAUCCAAGUCCAAAGGAUCGUAGCCAACCCAUGUGAUAUGAGGGCUAAAAUGGACUUCCUGAAUUUACAAUCAAACGGUAAGACAUAGGAUUACAAUUAUACACUAGGUGACCAUCCAGUAAAUCAAGCUUUAAACAAAGAAUUAUCAUUUUUAUUAUCACCGUAGAUGGUGGGAUGAUCACGAGCAAAAAAAGGCAUAACCCACGUAAAUUUGUGUCAUCAAACUCUGCAAACGCAAAAUUGACUGAGUUUGCGUUUUAGCGCCUCAAAAGAACCCAACACUUUUAUUCUACUCAACCACUGUUUCCUAUCUAAUGACUGAUGGCGAGGGAAAAAAAAACAACCGCGGCUCAAUGUUAAUAAUGGCAACUGCAAGGAAAGGUAUACUGAGAAACGACUGAAACAGCUACUGAUUGAUUUACAGCAACAUUGAUUCAGGAUUCUCAAUGUAGCCCUUGAACGCUUUUAGCCAUUCAGCACCAACUGCACCAUCUAUGACACGAUGAUCACAACUUAGGGUUACUGACAUGAAGGAAGCAAACUUAAAUUCAUCAGGACCCAAACCAGGAAUAACCCUCUUCUCAGCAGAGCCAACCGCAAGAAUGCCUGAUUGAGGAGGAUUGACGAUGGCACAGAAUUGCUUGAUGCCAAAAGGCCCUCCCAAAUUUGACACAGUAAAUGUGCCUCCCUCAUAAUCUUCUGGUUUCAAGCUAUUCUCUUUGGCUUUCUGCGCCAAAAACUUGACCUCCUCAGCAAUUUUAGACAAACCUUUCUUGUCUGCAUCCUGCAAAUUUUACACCAUAAAAUGAAGUCAUUAGAACAUAAGUAUUAUGAAAUAACAGUACUGAAUAUAGAAAACUGCUUACCUUAACAACUGGAACAUAUAAUCCAUUAUCUGUCUGUACAGCUACAUUAAUAUUCACAUUAUUAUACCUUCAUUUAAAUCAAAAGGGAAGGUAUGUCACAUUACGGAUUACACAAAUUCUCAUAAUGUCUAUUAAUUGUACACUUACUGGCGAAUAUAGUUAUCGGUCCAUGAACUGUUGCAUUGGGGAACUUUUCUAAGAGCCAAAGCAGCAGCCUGUAAUUACGGUGUUGUUGAAAUUACUCUACAGAUCAAACCAAUAAAGAGCUGCUUCUAAAUUUUAAUAGCUUAUGACAACCUCUAGACUGAGUCUCUGAUAUUUCAUGCAUUAUAAAUAUUUCCCAAAACUUGUAUACCUUGAUUACAAGAUCAUUUAUAGAUAUCCGCUUUCCACCUGAGGCCUCUUGUAAUGAAUUUAGUUUGCUCCGCAAAUCCACAAGUUUGUCAACACAUGUGUCUACAGUUAAAUAAUAAUGAGGAAUAGUUUGCUUUGAUAACAAUAAGCGUGAAGCUGUAACCUGUCAAUUUCAUACCAGAAAUAUGCUUCAGAAUAACAAAGAGAAUAUAUUAUAUGCACUAAGAGAAACUGUCUGUGUGACACUGACACCAUGGAAACGGCAUUCAGUAGUUCUAUGAUUAGCAAUGAUAUUGCAGUCAAAUUGUUCAGCGAAGAAAAUUAUUAGCAUAUAUGUGCAGAACUCAACAUCUGGUAGAAAUUAUUGAGCAGAAAACAAGAGAUCCAUGAAUAUUUUUUCUAUCCUAAGUUUCUCAUUAAUCAGGUCUAUGUUUAUUAGUAAUGAUUCCUAAUAUUACCUUUCUUAUCUGGGAAUGAGGAAUGUCAACAUAAUCUAAUGCAGCAGGUGUUGUGUCCUUGGCCUUAGGUGCUGCUGCUGAAACUUCCUUCCCACGUGAUGCCAAGUAAUCUUCAAUAUCAGCCUUCACAAUGUCUCCACCAGGACCUGUUCCUUUAAUGCUUGAGAGAGGUACCUAUAUUUGUGAUAAACAAAGUGAAGCAACAAAAUCAAUUAGAAUAAUAUCGAGAGCAAUAACUGCAUUAUGUCACUGAACAACAUAGUUAGGUCAUAUUAACAUUGUGAUCUUCAGCCAAUUUUCUUGCAAGAGGACUAGCAAAAAUGCGAUCUUCAGGAGUUGCACUGGGCUUGGAAAUCUUUGGUUCUGGUGAACUAACUGUUUCCUCAACCACCUCCUUGGGUGGGGGAGGUGGGGUAGAAGUAGCGGGCCCUUUAGCUGCAGCAGCACCAUCUGAUGCUGAAGGACUGUAAUCCUUAAACUUGGGAAUAUCUUCCUCAUCUUCAACCGUAAUAGCAAUUACCUCACCAACUUUAAUUUCUUUUGAUCCGUCCCCCUUUAUUAUCUUUGCAAGGAAACCUUCUUCCAUGCAUUCCAUCUCGACUGUUGCUUUAUCCGUUUCAACUUCGCAUAGUACUUCACCAGGUGAAAUUUUUUCACCCUCUUUCUUCAGCCACCUUGCUAUAUUACCCUCUGUCAUUGUAGGUGAGAGAGAAGGCAUUCCAAUCUCUUGGUGUGGAGGAAGACCUGAAUCAGAUGAAUAUCCUCUCCUUGACUGUACCUGUGAACAAGAAAAACCCUUCAUGAGUAGUGGUCCAGCCAUUGGGAUCCCAACUUGCAUUAUCGUUCUUGAGACAUUUUUCCUAGAUGCACCAAACAAUGACACAGUGUUAUUAGUAGCAGUGCUAGAGAACUUUUCUUUUUCUGCAGCAUCCUUUUUAUUGAAGAAGAAGCAGGUAUCAUUAGAAAACCAACGAACCAAACAAGCAUGCUGAUGCCGAAGCAAGUUGGGAACAUUUUUUAACUUUUUCGAAUGAUUGAUUAUAUGAGAUGCAUAAGCCAUGACUCGAAUCUUAAAUGAAAUUGCUCAACCAAGAAACGACACCCCUAAAAAAAUUGAACCAAACCGAUGGGAAAGUGAGGAAAAUAAGAGAAAUGAAGAGGCAAAUUGCCUUUGUAUUUUUUUUUUU
rnacentral:misc_RNA from 1 species